AUUGAACGCUGGCGGCAGGCCUAACACAUGCAAGUCGAGCGGAGCGGCGGACGGGUGAGUAAUGCCUAGGAAUCUGCCUGGUAGUGGGGGAUAACGUCCGGAAACGGGCGCUAAUACCGCAUACUAUCAGAUGAUCCUAGGUCGGAUUAGCCAGUUGGAGGGGUAAAGGCCUACCAAGGCGACGAUCCGUAACUGGUCUGAGAGGAUGAUCAGUCACAUUGGAACUGAGACACGGUCCAGACUCCUACGGGAGGAAGCAGUGGGGAAUAGUGGACAAUGAGCGCAAGCCUGAUGCAGCCAUGCCGCGUGUAUGAAAAAGGCAUUAGGGUUGUAAAGUACUUUCAGCGGGGAGGCGUUACCCGCAGAAGAAGCACCGGCUAACUCCGUGCCAGCAGCCGCGGUAAUAC
rnacentral:rRNA from 1 species